UUGCAUUAGUGGUUGAAGUGGUAUCCUUUUGUUGCAAACAAAAGAUAAAACGGAAAACACGACCGCGC
rnacentral:sRNA from 1 species